GUAUUCAGUCGUCAGAGGUGAAAUUCUUGGAUUGACUGAAGACUAACUACUGCGAAAGCAUUUGCCAAGGACGUUUUCAUUAAUCAAGAACGAAAGUUAGGGGAUCGAAGAUGAUCAGAUACCGUCGUAGUCUUAACCAUAAACUAUGCCGACUAGGGAUCGGGUGGUGCUACUUUGCCCACUCGGCACCUUACGAGAAAUCAAAGUUUUUGGGUUCUGGGGGGAGUAUGGUCGCAAGGCUGAAACUUAAAGGAAUUGACGGAAGGGCACCACCAGGAGUGGAGCCUGCGGCUUAAUUUGACUCAACACGGGGAAACUCACCAGGUCCAGACGUAAUAAGGAUUGACAAGUUAGAGACUUCUCUUGAUCUUACGGGUGGUGGUGCAUGGCCGUUUUUAGUCCUUGGAGUGAUUUGUCUGCUUAAUUGCGAUAACGGACGAGACCUUAACCUGCUAAAUAGGGCUGCGAGCAUCUGCUCGGGUGCUCUUCUUAGAGGGACUAUGGGUAUCAAACCCAUGGAAGUUUGAGG
rnacentral:rRNA from 1 species